UACGGAGGGGGCUAGCGUUGUUUGGAAUUACUGGGCGUAAAGCGCACGUAGGCGGCUUUGUAAGUUAGAGGUGAAAGCCCGGGGCUCAACUCCGGAAUUGCCUUUAAGACUGCAUCGCUAGAAUUGUGGAGAGGUAAGUGGAAUUCCGAGUGUAGAGGUGAAAUUCGUAGAUAUUCGGAAGAACACCAGUGGCGAAGGCGACUUACUGGACACAUAUUGACGCUGAGGUGCGAAAGCGUGGGGAGCAAACAGG
rnacentral:rRNA from 1 species